rnacentral:rRNA from 1 species
GACGAACGCUGGCGGCGUGCCUAAUACAUGCAAGUCGAGCGGAUGAAAGAGGAGCUUGCUCCUCUAGAUUCAGCGGCGGACGGGUGAGUAACACGUGGGCAACCUGCCCUGUAGAUUGGGAUAACUCCGGGAAACCGGGGCUAAUACCGAAUAAUCCUUCGGACCUCAUGGUCCGAUGUUGAAAGACGGUUUCGGCUGUCACUACAGGAUGGGCCCGCGGCGCAUUAGCUAGUUGGUGAGGUAACGGCUCACCAAGGCCACGAUGCGUAGCCGACCGGAGAGGGUGAUCGGCCACACUGGGACUGAGGCACGGCCCAGACUCCUACGGGAGGCAGCAGUAGGGAAUCUUCCACAAUGGACGAAAGUCUGAUGGAGCAACGUCGCGUGAGUGAAGAAGGUUCUCGGAUCGUAAAACUCUGUUGUGAGGGAAGAACAAGUACCGGAGUAACUGCCGGUACCUUGACGGUACCUCAUUAGAAAGCCACGGCUAACUACGUACCAGCAGCCGCAGUAA